UGGGGAAUAUUGCACAAUGGGCGCAAGCCUGAUGCAGCCAUGCCGCGUGUGUGAAGAAGGCCUUCGGGUUGUAAAGCACUUUCAGCGGGGAGGAAGGCGGUGAGGUUAAUAACCUCAUCGAUUGACGUUACCCGCAGAAGAAGCACCGGCUAACUCCGUGCCAGCAGCCGCGGUAAUACGGAGGGUGCAAGCGUUAAUCGGAAUUACUGGGCGUAAAGCGCACGCAGGCGGUCUGUCAAGUCGGAUGUGAAAUCCCCGGGCUCAACCUGGGAACUGCAUUCGAAACUGGCAGGCUAGAGUCUUGUAGAGGGGGGUAGAAUUCCAGGUGUAGCGGUGAAAUGCGUAGAGAUCUGGGGGAAUACCGGUGGCGAAGGCGGCCCCCUGGACAAAGACUGACGCUCAGGUGCGAAAGCGUGGGGAGCAAACAGG
rnacentral:rRNA from 1 species